rnacentral:tRNA from 1 species
UAAAGAAUAGACUAUAAUUAAGUCUGUAAAUUCAUAAUUUAUAAAAAGAUUCUAAAAUCUUUCUUUAA